rnacentral:rRNA from 1 species
UGGGGAAUAUUGCGCAAUGGACGAAAGUCUGACGCAGCGACGCCUCGUGAGGGACGAAGGUCUUCGGAUUGUAAACCUCUUUCAGCAGGGACGAAGCGACAGUGACGGUACCUGCAGAAGAAGCACCGGCUAACUAUGUGCCAGCAGCCGCGGCAAUACAUAGGGUGCAAGCGUUGUCCGGAAUUAUUGGGCGUAAAGAGCUCGUAGGUGGUUAGUUACGUCGGAUGUGUAAAUCAGGGGCUCAACCCC